rnacentral:rRNA from 1 species
AGUGAACGCUGGCGGUGGGCCUAACACAUGCAAGUCGAACGGCAGCACAGUAAGAGCUUGCUCUUACGGGUGGCGAGUGGCGGACGGGUGAGGAAUACAUCGGAAUCUACUUUUUCGUGGGGGAUAACGUAGGGAAACUUACGCUAAUACCGCAUACGACCUACGGGUGAAAGCAGGGGAUCUUCGGACCUUGCGCGAUUGAAUGAGCCGAUGUCGGAUUAGCUAGUUGGCGGGGUAAAGGCCCACCAAGGCGACGAUCCGUAGCUGGUCUGAGAGGAUGAUCGGCCACACUGGAACUGAGACACGGUCCAGACUCCUACGGGAGGCAGCAGGGGGGAAUAUUGGACAAUGGGCGCAAGCCUGAUCCAGCCAUACCGCGUGGGUGAAGAAGGCCUUCGGGUUGUAAAGCCCUUUUGUUGGGAAAGAAAAGCAGCAGGUUAAUACCCCGCUGUUCUGACGGUACCCAAAGAAUAAGCACCGGCUAACUUCGG